UCUUUAUCAAUUAAUCAUUUAUUUGUGUUUGUGGUCGGUCACUGGGCAUUAUUUUACAUUCAAAUCACAAAACAAACGAUAUAUUUUGAACUCACCAACUAAUACACAAAUACGAAGAAGCUUGCCUGACAACACUAUUUAAACUACAUUUUAACCGAAAUGGGUUUAUCAUCAUCAUCUUCAUCAAGUGUGGCUGACUCUCCACCUUGCCUGGCAUCAAAAACUAAUAGUCCUCUCAGUUACCCAGAACAGUACUACCCAUAGUGUACAACAAGGUAUGUUUACAGCUUCAUUAUCAUCAUUUAUCAAUUUCGCCUAGCUCUCCACCUUGCCAGUCUUUGUGUUUGUCUUUGUUACCUUGAGCAAGUCUACAAUGCUAUCA